GGCGGCAACUCCCUCACCUCUGGUCAGAAGGGACUGCUCAUCUACGGCAGCCUCCUCAUCGGCUUCCUCUUCUUCAUCUCCGGCUACUUCCUGCAAUGAUGACGCCAACAACGACUCUUUCUGAUCUGAUCUGCUUUCUGUUUGUGUGAAUAGAAUACUUCGUCCGUGCAUCUACUCCUCCCCACUCCCAGGGAACAACAUUCAUCAUCAAUCGGCUAGAAACUCUUUGGUUUAGAUUUUUUUUGAUUUGAUGCGGUGAUCGUUAAGUUCACAGGAACACCGAGCUCAUAUCCCCUCCAUGGUUGUAAUAUGUGGGCAACAAAACUACAAACUAGACACAAAACAUGUCAUAGGCAGAGUGGUAGAGGAGGGUACGCGUGGUGCACACAUAUCUUAUCCACCCAUGGCCUGGCCUCCAUCUGUGUUCCUGAUGCCUGUGGCCAUCACCAACCGCCUGUGCUAUUUUUAGUGGCGGUUUCUUAAGAAAUCCGCCACUAGAAAAUCAUGGAUUUCUAGUGGCGGUUUUCUUAAGGAACCGCCGGUAGAAAUCGAUUUCUCGUGGCGGUUUUCUCAAGGAACCGCCACUAGAAAUCAUUUUUAUCCUUAAUUUUUCGAGUUUUUCAAACAACCUCGUAUGAUGAAACCACCAAAAUAAAAGUUGUAGAUCUCUGAAAGUUAUAAAACUUUAUAGUUGACAACUUUUUUUUGAAAUCAUUUUGUCUCUCAAAAAUUGUAUCUAAAUUUGUCAAAUUUAAAAUUCAAAUUUUGCAAACGACCUCGUAUGAAAAAAGUGUCAAAAUGAAAGUUGUAGAACUUCAAAAAUUAUUCAACUUUGUAGUUGACAACUUUUUUAUUUGAAUUCGUUUACGGUCUCAAACAAGCAAUUUACACUCAUUUGGUUGUAAUAUGUGGCAACAAAACUACAAACUAGACACAAAACAUGUCAUAGGCAGAGUGGUAGAGGAGGGUACGCGUGGUGCACACAUAUCUUAUCCACCCAUGGCCUGGCCUCCAUCUGUGUUCCUGAUGCCCGUGGCCAUCACAGGAACACCGAGCGCAUAUCCCCUCCAUGAAUUCCUGCUUCCCUCUCCUUCCCUAGCUAGGGCAUAUACCCAGGGAACAACAUUCAUCAUCAAUCGACUAGAAACUCUUGGUUUUAGAUUUUUUUUUUGAUUUGAUGCGGUGAUCGUUAAGUUCACAGGAACACCGAGCGCAUAUCCCCUCCAUGGUUGUAAUAUGUGGGCAACAAAAGUACAAACUAGACACAAAGCAUGUCAUAGGCAGAGUGGUAGAGGAGGGUACGCGUGGUGCACACAUAUCUUAUCCACCCAUGGCCUGGCCUCCAUCUGUGUUCCUGAUGCCCGUGGCCAUCACCAACCGCCUGUGCUAUUUUUAGUGGCGGUUUCUUAAGAAAACCGGCACUAGAAAUCGUAUUUCCAGAGGCGGUUCCUUAAGAAAACCGCCACUAGAAAUCAUGGAUUUCUAGUGGCGGUUUUCUUAAGGAACCGCUAGUAGAAAUCGAUUUCUCGUGGCGGUUUUCUUAAGGAACCGCCACUAGAAAUCAUUUUUAUCCUUAAUUUUUCGAGUUUUUCAAACGACCUCGUAUGAUGAAACCACCAAAAUAAAAGUUGUAGAUCUCUGAAAGUUAUAAAACUUUAUAGUUGACAACUUUUUUUUAAAUCAUUUUGUCUCUCAAAAAUUGUAUCUAAAUUUGUCAAAUUUAAAAUUCAAAUUUUGCAAACGACCUCGGAUGAAAAAAGUGUCAAAAUGAAAGUUGUAGAACUUCAAAAAUUAUUCAACUUUGUAGUUGACAACUUUUUUCUUUGAAUUCGUUUACGGUCUCAAACAAGCAAUUUAGACUCAUUUGGUUGUAAUAUGUGGGCAACAAAACUACAAACUAGACACAAAGCAUGUCAUAGGCAGGGUGGUAGAGGAGGGUACGCGUGGUGCACACAUAUCUUAUCCACCCAUGGCCUGGCCUCCAUCUGUGUUCCUGAUGCCCGUGGCCAUCACAGGAACACCGAGCGCAUAUCCCCUCCAUGAAUUCCUGCUUCCCUCUCCUUCCCUAGGCCAGCUCCUAGCUUUCUUCCCUAGCUAGGGCAUAUACCUAGGGAACAACAUUCAUCAUCAAUGGACUAGAAACUCUUGGUUUUAGAUUUUUUUUGAUUUAAUGCGGUGAUCGUUAAGUUCACAGGAACACCGAGCGCAUAUCCCCUCCAUGGUUGUAAUAUGUGGGCAACAAAAGUACAAACUAGACACAAAGCAUGUCAUAGGCAGAGUGGUAGAGGAGGGUACGCGUGGUGCACACAUAUCUUAUCCACCCAUGGCCUGGCCUCCAUCUGUGUUCCUGAUACCCGUGGCCAUCACCAACCGCCUGUGCUAUUUUUAGUGGCGGUUUCUUAAGAAAACCGCCACUAGAAAUCGUAUUUCCAGAGGCGGUUCCUUAAGAAAACCGCCAGUAGAAAUCGAUUUCUAGUGGCGGUUUUCUUAAGGAACCGCCACUAGAAAUCAUUUUUAUCCUUAAUUUUUCGAGUUUUUCAAACGACCUCAUAUGAUGAAACCACUAAAAUAAAAGUUGUAGAUCUCUGAAAGUUAUAAAACUUUAUAGUUGACAACUUUUUUUUUGAAAUCAUUUCGUCUCUCAAAAAUUGUAUCUAAAUUUGUCAAAUUUAAAAUUCAAAUUUUGCAAACGACCUCGGAUGAAAAAAGUGUCAAAAUGAAAGUUGUAGAACUUCAAAAAUUAUUCAACUUUGUAGUUGACAACGUUUUUAUUUGAAUUAGUUUACGGUCUCAAACAAACAAUUUACACUCAUUUGGUUGUAAUAUGUGGGCAACAAAACUACAAACUAGACACAAAGCAUGUCAUAGGCAGAGUGGUAGAGGAGGGUACGCGUGGUGCACACAUAUCUUAUCCACCCAUGGCCUGGCCUCCAUUUGUGUUCAUGAUGCCCGUGGCCAUCACAGGAACACCGAGCGCAUAUCCCCUCCAUGGAUUCCUGCUUCCCUCUCCUUCCCUAGGCCAGCUCCUAGCUUUCUUCCCUAGCUAGGGCAUAUACCGUUUCUAUCCAGGAGGAGUCCAGAGUGAGACAGAGAGAGAGAGAUUGACGAUGGCGUUAGCCUAUGCAGCAGCCAGGCUAGUCCACCCAUGCAUUGGCAUGGGCAUGGUGUCCAAGCAGCACCCAAGAACACCGCCAUCGUCCUCCUGCUGCCUACACCUCCACCACAUCCUCUACCUUAGGCCCGUCGUCAGCAGCCACCACUUGGCGCGCCACUCCGUCGACGUCACCAAGAACGACAAGCCGCUUGAGCCGCCGCCGCCGCCGGCUGCAGGGACAGAGAGCACACAUCAGCAGGAGGACGAGGACGGCGGGCCAAAGCUGGACCUGAUGAGGUUCGAGGAGAAGUUCGCGGUGCUGAACACGGGGGUCCACGAGUGCCGGUCCUGCGGGUACCGCUACGACCAGGCGGCAGGGGACCCGUCGUACCCGGUGCCGCCGGGCCUCCCCUUCGCGCAGCUGCCCGACGACUGGUGGUGCCCCACCUGCGGCGCCACGCAGUCCUCCUUCGAGAGCAAGAGCGUGGAGAUCGUCGGGUUCGCGCAGAACCAACAGUUCGGGCUGGGCGACAACUCCCUCACCUUCGGCCAGAAGGGCCUGCUCAUCUACGACAACCUCCUCAUCGGCUUCCUCUUCUUCAUCUCUCGCUACUUCCUGCAAUGAUGACGCCAACAACGACUCUUUCUGAUCUGAUCUGCUUUCUGUUUGUGUGAAUAGAAUACUUCGUCCGUGCAUGUACUCCUCCCCACUCCCAGGGAACAACAUUCAUCAUCAAUCGACUAGAAACUCUUGGUUUUAGAUUUUUUUUGAUUUGAUGCGGUGAUCGUUAAGUUCACAGGAACACCGAGCGCAUAUCCCCUCCAUGGUUGUAAUAUGUGGGCAACAAAACUACAAACUAGACACAAA
rnacentral:lncRNA from 1 species